ACAACAUUCGGAACGUCGGUCAACCGAGGAAUAUCACCCGCUCGGUGGAAAAUCUUCCUUUAAAAGA
rnacentral:pre_miRNA from 1 species